rnacentral:rRNA from 1 species
GCGUGAGUGAUGAAGGCCUUAGGGUUGUAAAGCUCUUUUACCAGGGAUGAUAAUGACAGUACCUGGAGAAUAAGCUCCGGCUAACUCCGUGCCAGCAGCCGCGGUAAUACGGAGGGAGCUAGCGUUGUUCGGAAUUACUGGGCGUAAAGCGCACGUAGGCGGCUCUUUAAGUCAGGGGUGAAAUCCCGGGGCUCAACCCCGGAACUGCCCUUGAAACUGCAGAGCUAGAAUACUGGAGAGGUGAGUGGAAUUCCGAGUGUAGAGGUGAAAUUCGU